rnacentral:rRNA from 1 species
AUACGUAGGGGGCGAGCGUUGUCCGGAAUGAUUGGGCGUAAAGGGCGCGUAGGCGGCCCGGUAAGUCUGGAGUGAAAGUCCUGCUUUCAAGGUGGGAAUUGCUUUGGAUACUGCCGCGCUUGAGUGCAGGAGAGGUUAUCGGAAUUCCCGGUGUAGCGGUGAAAUGCGUAGAGAUCGGGAGGAACACCAGUGGCGAAGGCGGGUAACUGGACUGCAACUGACGCUGAGGCGCGAAAGUGUGGGGAGCAAACAGGAUUAGAUACCCUGGUAGUCCACACUGUAAACGAUGAAUGCUAGGUGUAAGAGGUAUCGACCCCUUUUGUGCCGGAGUCAACACAAUAAGCAUUCCGCCUGGGGAGUACGGCCGCAAGGUUGAAACUCAAAUGAAUUGACGGGG